rnacentral:rRNA from 1 species
GAUGAACGCUGGCGGCGUGCCUAAUACAUGCAAGUCGAGCGAACGGACGAGAAGCUUGCUUCUCUGAUGUUAGCGGCGGACGGGUGAGUAACACGUGGAUAACCUACCUAUAAGACUGGGAUAACUUAGGGAAACCGGAGCUAAUACCGGAUAAUAUUUUGAACCGCAUGGUUCAAAAGUGUAAGACGGUCUUGCUGUCACUUAUACAUGGAUCCGGGCUGCAUUGGCUAGUUCGUAAGGUAACGGCUUACCAAGGCAACGAUGCAUAGCCGACCGGAGAGGGUGAUCGGCGACAGUGGGAGUGAGACGCGGUCCAGAGUCCUACGGGAGGCACCAGCAGCGAAUCGACCGCACAGGGCGAAAGCCUGACGGAGCGGCGCAGCGUGGGUGCUGCAGGUCUUCGGAUCGUAAAACUCUGUUAUGAGGGAAGAACAUAUGUGUAAGGAACUGUGCACAUCUUGACGGUACCUAAUCAGAAAGCCACGGCUAACUACGUG